rnacentral:rRNA from 1 species
UAGGGAAUCUUCCGCAAUGGACGCAAGUCUGACGGAGCAACGCCGCGUGAGUGAAGAAGGAUUUCGGUUCGUAAAACUCUGUUGUUAGAGAAGAACAGCGCAUAGAGUAACUGUUAUGCGUGUGACGGUAUCUAACCAGAAAGCCACGGCUAACUACGUGCCAGCAGCCGCGGUAAUACGUAGGUGGCAAGCGUUGUCCGGAUUUAUUGGGCGUAAAGCGAGCGCAGGCGGUCAAUUAAGUCUGAUGUGAAAGCCCCCGGCUCAACCGGGGAGGGUCAUUGGAAACUGGUUGACUUGAGUGCAGAAGAGGAGCGUGGAAUUCCAUGUGUAGCGGUGAAAUGCGUAGAUAUAUGGAGGAACACCAGUGGCGAAGGCGACUCUCUGGUCUGUAACUGACGCUGAGGCUCGAAAGCGUGGGUAGCAAACAGG